UGGGGAAUCUUGCGCAAUGGGCGAAAGCCUGACGCAGCGACGCCGCGUGGGGGAUGAAGGCCCUCGGGUUGUAAACCCCUUUCGGCAGGGACGAAGCGAAAGUGACGGUACCUGCAGAAGAAGCCCCGGCUAACUACGUGCCAGCAGCCGCGGUAAGACGUAGGGGGCGAGCGUUGUCCGGAAUCAUUGGGCGUAAAGCGCGCGCAGGCGGCCGUUCAAGUCGGAUGUGAAAACCCGGGGCUCAACCCCGGGCGUGCAUCCGAUACUGAUCGGCUCGAGGCAGGUAGGGGAGAGCGGAAUUCCCGGUGUAGCGGUGAAAUGCGCAGAUAUCGGGAGGAACACCGGUGGCGAAGGCGGCUCUCUGGGCCUGUCCUGACGCUGAGGCGCGAAAGCUAGGGGAGCGAACAGG
rnacentral:rRNA from 1 species